GGAAAACUCACCAGGUCAGGACACGGUAAGGAUUGACGGACUGAAGGCUCUUUCUCGAUUCCGUGGAAAGUGGUGCAUGGCCGUUUUGGUUGGUGGAUCGAUCCGUCUGGUUAAUUCCGUUAACGAACGAGACCUCGGCACUCCGAAUAGCGCGGCGGACGUCGCGGCCUCCGGGCCGUCUUCCGCACGAGCUUCUUAGAGGGACCGUCCCCCGCCGGGGAAGGAGGUGCGAGGCAACGACAGGUCUGUGAUGCCCUUAGAUGUUCUGGGCCGCACGCGCAUUACACUGACGCGUCCAACGGGUGGACUCCCGACCCGAACGGGGCCGGGGAAGUCCGCAAGGCGCGUCGUGAUGGGGAGUUGAACGUUGCAAUUGUUGUUCACGAACGAGGAAUUCCUAGUAGGCGCGGGUCAUCAACCCGCGCCGAUUACGUCCCU
rnacentral:rRNA from 1 species